UUGUGACAGAGAUCCGUCACUACAAUUUCUGAACCUCUUGUUUCUAAUUUUCUUUGGUAUUCUUCUCUCUAUAAAGCCUAACUGUACUCCUGCUUGCUUUCUCAGAAGGAAGAGAAACAACUACUUAGAACCAAAUGGCUUCAAUUUGUUGGGCUCUACUACUCUUUCUUGCAAUGUUUUCGGCACUAGCCACCUCCGACACCCAUAGCGACGAUAACCUCACUCUCCGAUGCCAUCCAGACCAGGCUGCAAGCCUCCUCCUGCUAAAGCGAUCCUUCUCUUUCUUCCGUUACCCCAGUGGCCUUGAGUCAUGGCAGGAUGACACCGACUGUUGUCUUUGGGAAGGUGUUGGCUGCCGCAACUCCUCGGGGUAUGUCACCGCUCUGGAGCUAAGUAAUCGUGGCUUGUACAGUCAAGGCCUUGACCCCGCAAUCUUCAACCUCACCUCGCUCCAACUACUCGACCUUAGCAUGAACAAUUUUGGCCAGUGCAAUCUCCCGGCGACCGGGUUUGAGAGGCUCUCCUUGCUCACACACCUCAACCUCUCCAAUUCGGGCUUCCAAGGCCAGAUACCUAUUGGCAUCGGCAAACUUGCCAACCUUAUCUCCUUGGAUCUUUCUGUUCUCUAUUAUAUGGCUUCUGAUGAUUCUCUUAAUGGCUAUGGCACCAGCAUUCCUGGCGUUACUAGUUGGCUAUGGCUGCAGGAACCCAACUUUCAGAUCCUAGUUGGCAACCUCAACAAUCUGAGAGAGCUCUACCUUGAUGGAGUGGAUAUGUCUACCAGUGCAGAUGAUUGGUGUGAUGCAUUUGCUGAUUCUCUUCCGAAUCUCCGAGUUCUCAGCUUGAGAUAUUGUAAUCUUGUUGGUCCUAUUUGCCCCUCCCUGUCGACCCUGCACUCCCUAGCUGUGAUCAGUCUCCAAGAUAACUUUGAUACGUCUGUCACCUCCUCGGGAGAUGCUCAUGGAUUCUCACAAUUUAAGUUUUCUUCAGCUUGCUUGGAAAAAUAUCCAACGCUUGUGCCCUAGUAGAAUCUUCCAAUAAAAAAAACUAAGGUCCUUGAUUUGUUGGGACAUGGUAUGUUAGAUUAUGUGCCAAUAUUUUCCAUCUAAUUAAAGUGAACUGCAUGUUUUCCUGGAAGGGUGCUAUCCCUGAGGUACUCAGAUGUAAUACGACUUGUACAUAUAUUACUUUCACUCUGAAGUUCACAUAUGUUCCGUGUCGUAGAAUGCAUAUAUGCAGUUGUAUCAUGUCUUGAGCCUUACGACGGCUUAUCUGUAGGAGUAUGUGAUGUUGUUUGGCCUAGAUGGCUAGAUGUACUAGCUCUGGAACAUAAGCAUGAUGAUGUAAUUCGUUAAUUGUUUCAGGUACUAUUGCGACAUGAAUGCAAACAGUCAUAUUGCAGAGUUCUUAUUCCUCUGUCUGUCAGAUCAUUGCAAAAAUAAAACCAGCAUAGCCGGUGCAGAGUUGUGAAUUAUGUGCUGGCCAGAAGGCUGAUCAACCUGAAUGCUGUCCGACGCACAUGCAGUUCGUGCUAGGCCAACAGCCUGUGAUCCAGCUGCCUCAGCUUGCUGAUUUUAUUGCGUGUAAGCGAACUGCCGGCUGGAAAGAUGGUGUGGAUGAUGAACAAUUGCGCAAUCCCUCCGCCUUGCGCUGACAGUCGUGUCAGCCCAGCGACAGAAACUGUGCCAUGAGGGAGAACAGCAUGAAUCCACAUUUGGCUGCCAAAGACGAAGCACUCGGAGAGAGUGAUCGUUUCUAGUGUCCAGCAUGGGCUCCGUGAUAGCCACCCCUUUGUUUCGCUUCGCAUGGGCUCCGUGAUAGCCACCCCUUUGUUUCGCUUCGCAUGGGUGUCAUGUGUAGGAACCAGUGAACAACAUGUGUGGGAGAUCGGUGUUCGGUUCCAUUAAUUACAUUGGAGGUGUGUGUAAUUUAUGAAACCUGAACCUUACCCUAAUUGCUGCGAUGGUGAUGUCCGUUUACAGUUCGCGAUGAUUGUAGCAAGCAUGCUUGCUGAUGUUUUCAUGAUAAGUGGAACCAGGGAAGCCAAGGUGCUGAUCCGAGAUGCUGUCAGGAAAGAUGGUGCGAAGGCCAUUCGAGUUGAUUCUGUUCGCCCUCGUCACUGCGCAGGUACUCUUCUAAUAAUUAAUUAUCACAAAAUGGGCUACUGUUUUUCUUCUUCUCAUGCUGCUUUCUCGCGGAUACCCUAUUGUUCAACCUGGGUGCUACUGCUUUCUAGUAGCUUUUUAUUAAUAAUCCCAAGUGGUCAAAUUAAAGAAUCUGCCGAAUUAUUUUUCAG
rnacentral:rRNA from 1 species